rnacentral:rRNA from 1 species
CGGAACGUACCUUUCAGUGGGGGAUAACGUAGCGAAAGUUACGCUAAUACCGCAUAUUCUGUGAGCAGGAAAGCAGGGGAUCGCAAGACCUUGCGCUGAUUGAGCGGCCGAUAUCAGAUUAGCUAGUUGGUGAGGUAAAGGCUCACCAAGGCGACGAUCUGUAGCGGGUCUGAGAGAUGAUCCGCCACACUGGAACUGAGACACGGUCCAGACUCCUACGGGAGGCAGCAGUGGGGAAUUUUGGACAAUGGGGGCAACCCUGAUCCAGCCAUGCCGCGUGAGUGAAGAAGGCCUUCGGGUUGUAAAGCUCUUUCGGCCGGGAAGAAAUCGCAUGGGUUAAUACCCUGUGCGGAUGACGGUACCGGCAUAAGAAGCACCGGCUAACUACGUGCCAGCAGCCGCGGUAAUACGUAGGGUGCGAGCGUUAAUCGGAAUUACUGGGCGUAAAGCGUGCGCAGGCGGUUUUUUAAGACAGGCGUGAAAUCCCCGGGCUCAACCUGGGAACUGCGCUUGUGACUGGAAGGCUAGAGUAUGGCAGAGGGGGGUGGAAUUCCACGUGUAGCAGUGAAAUGCGUAGAGAUGUGGAGGAACACCAAUGGCGAAGGCAGCCCCCUGGGCCAAUACUGACGCUCAUGCACGAAAGCGUGGGUAGCAAACAGGAUUAGAUACCCUGGUAGUCCACGCCCUAAACGAUGUCAACUAGGUGUUGGGUGGGUAAAACCAUUUAGUACCGGAGCUAACGCGUGAAGUUGACCGCCUGGGGAGUACGGCCGCAAGGUUAAAACUCAAAGGAAUUGACGGGGACCCGCACAAGCGGUGGAUGAUGUGGAUUAAUUCGAUGCAACGCGAAAAACCUUACCUACCCUUGACAUGUCCAGGAGCCUGAAGAGAUUUGGGUGUGCCCGAAAGGGAGCUGGAACACAGGUGCUGCAUGGCUGUCGUCAGCUCGUGUCGUGAGAUGUUGGGUUAAGUCCCGCAACGAGCGCAACCCUUGUCGUUAAUUGCCAUCAUUUAGUUGGGCACUUUAACGAGACUGCCGGUGACAAACCGGAGGAAGGUGGGGAUGACGUCAAGUCCUCAUGGCCCUUAUGGGUAGGGCUUCACACGUCGUACAAUGGUCGGUACAAAGGGUUGCCAAGCCGCGAGGUGGAGCCAAUCCCAGAAAGCCGAUCGUAGUCCGGAUCGCAGGCUGCAACUCGCCUGCGUGAAGUCGGAAUCGCUAGUAAUCGUGGAUCUGCAUGUCACGGUGAAUACGUUCCCGGGUCUUGUACACACCGCCCGUCACACCAUGGGAGCGGGUUCCGCCAGAAGUAGGUAGCCUAACCGCAAGGAGGGCGCUUACCACGGCGGGGUCCGUGACUGGGGUGAGGUCGUAACAAGGUA